rnacentral:rRNA from 1 species
GCUUGUUUUUCUUUUCUUUUUUCCUUCCCUUUUUAGAGGGCCCCGCGUUCGUUUGCACUGCGGUGCGGAGUGAGGCAGGGAGCAGGAGCAGGAGAAGGAGGAGAGGGGUGAAAGGGGCAAUUAUUAAGCCGUUAGCUAGCGACGGCGGCGGCGCUGACGCUGACUUCGGAGACGAGGCGAGGCGAGACGAGACGAGCGGCGACCUUCUACCUCGGACUGGUCUCACCGUGGCCCGUCUGAAGAGGGGCGCCCUUGCUGACCCUCCAGCACGUCGAGUGGCGAAGUUUGAUGCGAAGACGUGGACCAGGCCGCUCUUGACUUGGAAGGCUGCUCCUCCGACUUCCGGUCCACAUACUGCGUCUCCCCCCACUAAGGCGUCGGCGCAGCGACGAGUACAGACCGGUAAAGAGCCACGGCGUCUCACUCCGACUCUUUGAGGAGUACCUUCGACUAUGAUCGUAUAUAGUCGUCCUCCGCGCGCCGUCGGUCAUACGUCAAAGACUGUUCCCACCUCUACCAUACAUGCUUCUGGUCGUCCUCUUUGACUUCCUGCUGCCAGAACUGUCCUAGGGCAGGAAGCUGUUUCCCUUUUCGGAAAGGGGACAACUAUACCUCGGACUGCUACCCUUGCGUAACGUGUCGCAAUCAGUCCGACCCCUUCUGGGUCAAUGUAAGAGUAGUAGACCAAUGUCACGUUGCCUCCGACUCUUUCUUCAAUGGCUCUCACGGUUCCUCUUCUGACUUCUUUUAUAUUGCGAGGUUUUACAGCUGGGACAGUGACUAAGCAGGUUACAACAACGAAGGCCACUCCUCUCGUUCGGACUGCCAAGACCUCGGGGUGCGUUACACACCACCGUCUUCGUUGAAUAUAGCGAGAUGUCCUCGCGAUUUCUCUCGUUGUUCGAGACCGGAUAGCAACACCGACGACGGCGAAACUACCCCUACCGUAUAAAGGCCGCCGCGACCGUCUUCCCGUUCGACGUCGAAGUCGUCCAGUUUAACGUUGGACGGUCGUCGUUCCUCUCUUAGUUGGUCCGGUGGCAUGGCGAAUUGGCUUAGUUCCUGUAAGAACAGCGACCGUUGGUGGGCUCAGGCCGAUGAGUACCUUUACGAGCUAACCCGACUACUACUAUUGGUAGGGCGGCUGCCUACUACAUAGGACUUUGAUCACAUACGUUACCUCUUUAUGGGCUACGGCGUCUUGCAUACCUGCAAAUACGCACGACCGACACAUUAAUUUGGGGUUUUGAGGAGGACCACCGUGCAGAGACGUCACCGUGCAGAGAUGGCCAACUCCCGCGUUCCGCACAACUUGAUCACCUGUAGCCCCGGCGGUCAACUCCCGCGUUCCGCACAACUUGAUCACCUGUAACCCCGGCGGCUAACUCCCGCGUUCCGCACAACUUGAUCACCUGUAGCCCCGGCGGUCAACUCCCGCGUUCCGCACAACUUGAUCUGUAACCCCGGCGGCUAACUCCCGCGUUCCGCACAACUUGAUCACCUGUAGCCCCGCCGCCGCGGCGGGGGCUCUCGAAACGUUGAAGCUGCCGUACCUGGAGUACGGCGCACCCAACGUUGAUGAUGUACGUACACCUUACGAAUAGAGAAGUAGCGGCGCCCUCUCACGGAGUACUAAAGAAAGCCUGUACCUUCUCGCUGAACAAGCCAC